rnacentral:lncRNA from 1 species
AUGGAAGGCUACAAUGGCACCAUCUUUGCCUGUGGCAGUGGGGAAUCCUUCACCAUGCAGGGAGCUGCAGAUUCUGCCUCACAGAAAGGGAUCAUCCCCAGGGUGUUUGAACACAUCUUUGAGAGUGUGCAGGGCUUCUCCCUGCUGGGGCUGCUCACCUGGAGCAAAUCCAGCUCCCUGCCUCAAUCCCCAGGUGGAUCUGGAAGCAGAGAAGCAGCUGAUCAGAGCACUGACACACAGACUAGAACAAUCUCUGACCACACACCUUCACAUGAAGAUGCUGUUGCUGCAGCACAUGAAGAGCCAACAUCAGCCCAGGCUCCUUCUCCCCUCAGGAUGAAUAACCCUGAGAAUUUGUGGGCAAUUCUGUCUGUUAAGGGAGAGAUCUCCAAAGAAACCCUUCAUUUGGAUUUGAUAUCAACAUUCCCUGAGUGGGUAAUAUUGUGCUUCAUCUCCCCCAAUAAUCCUGUUUCAGGGGCACUGAAAUAGGGCUGGGAUAUGAGAAAUGCAGGCUUGGACUCGUGCUCAGCCCAAAUCAAAAUCAACCUGGCUCAAGGUUUUCUCUGUGUGAGAGAAUUCCCUCAGCCAGAGCACACCACCACUUAUUGGGGCAGCAUGGGGGCUUGGGCUGCUCCAGAAAUACAAAUUCUGGUUUUUCACUUCCUCCAUUGUGUGGAACUAGAUACAAUUAGAAAAGCUCAAGCUAAGAUAUGCUGUGACAGUCUGAUUCUGAACAGUUCUGUGGGUUUUAACCUGUCCUUCUGUGGGUUUUAACCUGUUCUUCUGUGGGUUUUAACCAGUUCUUCUGUGGGUUUUAACCUGUCCUUCUGUGGGUUUUAACCUGUCCUUCUGUGGGUUUUAACCAGUCCUUCUGUGGGUUUUAACCAGUCCUUCUGUAGGUUUUAACCAGUCUUUCAGCUUCCCUGUGGUGUGUGCUCACUCUGUUGGGUCUCUCCUGGCUCAAACAGGAGCUGCUAUGAAAUGCAGAACAGCAGUGCCUGUAAUUUGUGGGUAAUUCUGUCUGUUAAGGGAGAGAUCUCCAAAGAAACCCUUCAUUUGGAUUAGAUAUCAAAUGUUAGUGCUCCUAUUGUAAAAAUAAAUCCUUUUGUGGCAAACA